AGAUGCUUUAGUGCCUUCGGGAACUCUGAGACAGGUGCUGCAUGGCUGUCGUCAGCUCGUGUUGUGAAAUGUUGGGUUAAGUCCCACAACGAGCGCAACCCUUAUCCUUUGUUGCCAGCACGUAAUGGUGGGAACUCAAAGGAGACUGCCGGUGAUAAACCGGAGGAAGGUGGGGAUGACGUCAAGUCAUCAUGGCCCUUACGAGUAGGGCUACACACGUGCUACAAUGGCGCAUACAAAGAGAAGCGACCUCGCGAGAGCAAGCGGACCUCAUAAAGUGCGUCGUAGUCCGGAUUGGAGUCUGCAACUCGACUCCAUGAAGUCGGAAUCGCUAGUAAUCGUAAAUCAGAAUGUUACGGUGAAUACGUUCCCGGGCCUUGUACACACCGCCCGCCACACCAUGGGAGUGGGUUGCAAAAGAAGUAGAUAGCUUAACCUUCGGGAGGGCGUUUACCACUUUGUGAUUCAUGACUGGGGUGAAGUCGUAACAAGGUAGGCGUAGUGCU
rnacentral:rRNA from 1 species